GAUAGUUACAGGUUUGUGAGUGACAAUAUCAUAAUUUUUUUUUUAAUUGCAGAAAUUCUUUUGCGAUAUUGUAUAUGGAAGAUGAAGGAGGGAUGAAACUGAUAAGGACUGAUCAGAUUCGAGGACUUUUCAUGAAUGACUAAAAGAGAAAAGCACUGAGAAGACAUCGGUUGGUGAAGCUAUGUUAUAUCCACACACAUAUAAUGUAUGUUGCUCACUGUCGUUGACGACAUGAGAUACUAAUCGUUCAUUCAACGAUCGUCAGUCUACUCACCGCCUCGAUCUUUGGAGGAUAUUAUAUUUUCUCCAGAUACCAUUACCACGCUGUCACGGUGGUCCUGCAUAGCAGUUUGUGCCCUCGAUACUCAGGAUACUCGCAGGAUCACUGGCUCGUAAUGCCUUCCCUUUCGCAUAUUAUUGACCAGUCAACAGUGAGCCCGGCCAUCCAGAAUCCAAUUUUUUGUUUUAUUGAAAAAUUCUCUAACAAUCAAAUCUAGCAGCUCAACACCUGACAACUAGCAGUUCCGACCAGGACACAGGAAGAGGAAGUCAAGUACACGUAUUCCGGACACAUUGGUUCUCCAACCGGUGGUGGAUGUAACCGGCUAGGGAUCAAGUUCUCUCUCUCAAUUCGUAUCCAGUCGAAUUGUUCGCAGAACGGUAUACACAAAAAGGUAUAUGUUUUUACAAAUUUUUCAAAACUAUUUGUUUUUUUUCAAAUUGUGUAAUUUUUUCUUAGUUAUUAUAUUAUUAUUGUAGAAUAUAAAAUAUUUCUUUUUUUUGUCAUUAUUAUUAAUUUAUUAGCAUUGUCUUCCAGGAGUGUGUUUCUAAAUGACUGAUGUAUUUCUCUCACAAGUUUUACAUCAAUAUAACAUAUCCCAAUAUAAAAAUAAUAUAAGGCACUUUUCGUCUAGAGUGAAUAAAGGGUAUCUUCUUACACUUCCAACCGAUUGAGUCUUUGGUAUUUACGUAGGACCCCAAAGAAAACUUCUCAGUCCCCCUCAAGUUUUUUCUAAUGAGCAAAAAAUAAUUAUAUUUAACGGUCAUUUUUGAGCAAUUUUUUUUUAUUUACAAUUUUUUUUUUUUUGCUUUGGAAAAAUCAUUUUUUUUUAUCAAAAGUAAAUUUAUCAAAUAUUAACAUUAAAAAUUGUAUUUUGAAAAAAAUAUUACUUUUAUUUACAAUUUUUUGAAAAAUAAUAAUUUUUUUGUUAUUUUAUCUUUUAUAUAUUUUGGAUUUGAUUUUCUUACAAAAAAUAAUAAUAAGUUUUUUAAGAACAGAUUUUACAUAACUUUUUUUUGCAGAAUGGAUUUCUAUAAAAAUCAUCACCAGCAAAAUUAAAGCACCCGAGAGAGAAGAUGUGGAGCGCGACUGCAACACCUGUGUUUGCUUACACCUGAAAGUACAAUAUAAACGAAGAGUGAGAGAUAGGAUCAAGCAGGCAUUAAUGAAUUGUGUAAACACCGCAAAACUCUCUGUGAUGUAUAUUGCGGUUUGUUGUUGUCCAUUCUUUUUUGGCUUUACUUAUACGAGGAUGAAAAUACACACACAUUCCGUUUUAUGAAUGCACAACAACCGACUCCUAUCUCUCUCAAUGCGCAUAUGAUUGAGUGAUUGGCUUGCACGAUGAGAUGACAGUAUCCGUAUUGUCCAUGGUUAAGGUCCCGCUACUCAUAUAAGUGAUUGCUGUUGGGAUAAUCUUCCACGUGAUAAAUGGAGACUUUAUUAUACAAGAAUAAUAAAAGUGAAGAGGGCAAUGUUCGGAGGGAAAGUUAAACGACAUUGCAGUUGAAAGAGGAGUCAUGAAAACUGUCUCGAGUUGUGCUGAAGCAUUAAUUUCGAUGUCGAGUUGAGAGCGAGAGAGGUACACAACCCCCAAGAUGGCUGCUGCCGGGCGUAUCGACGUUUAGCUUUUGCAAGGUUUCCCAGAGCUAAUGAUUUUUCAAUAGUCUCUCUUUCAUACACACACACACACACACACUAUCUCUCUCACCAUCGCCGUUAUUUUCUUGCAUAAGACUUGAAGAUUUGGUCUGCGAGGUGUACAGGAUGGGAAGGGCAAUUACGAGAAGUCCA